UCGGAGGCGAUGAAGGACGUGAUAAGCUGCGAUAAGCUUCGGGUAGGUGCAAAUGACCAUUGAUCCGAAGAUUUCCGAAUGGGACAACCCGGCAUUCUGAAGGAAUGUCAUCCAACCUGGUUGGAGGCUAACGCAGGGAACUGAAACAUCUUAGUACCUGCAGGAAAAGAAAAUAAAUAAUGAUUCCCCCAGUAGUGGCGAGCGAACGGGGAACAGCCCAAACCAUCCAUGUUACGGCAUGGGUGGGGUUGUAGGACUACGCCGUUGCAUGAAGACAUCAGAGAAGAACUUUCUGGAAAGAAAGACCAUAGAGCAUGACAGUUGCGUAUUCGAAUGUUGUCGAAGCAUAGUAGUAUCCUGAGUAGCGCGGAGCACGAGGAAUUCUGCGUGAAUCUGCCGGGACCAUCCGGUAAGGCUAAAUACUCCCGAGAGACCGAUAGCGAACCAGUACCGUGAGGGAAAGGUGAAAAGCACUUCGAACAGAAGAGUGAAAUAGUUCCUGAAACCGUGCGCCUACAAGCGGUCGGAGCUCGUUAAUGAGUGACGGCGUGCCUUUUGCAUAAUGAACCUACGAGUUGCCUUUGCCGGCAAGGUUAAGUGUGACGACACACGUAUCCGAAGCGAAAGCGAGUCUGAACAGGGCGUAUAGUCGGCAGUGGCAGACGCGAAACCAAGUGAUCUACCCUUGGCCAGGUUGAAGGCUGGGUAACACCAGCUGGAGGACCGCACCAAUAAGCGUUGAAAAGCUUCUGGAUGAGCUGAGGGUAGGGGUGAAAGGCUAAUCAAACUUGGAGAUAGCUCGUACUCCCCGAAAUGCAUUUAGGUGCAGCCUUGCGGGUUACUGAUGUGAGGUAGAGCGACUGAUAAGAUGCGAGGGCUUCACCGCCUAUCAAGUCUUGACAAACUCCGAAUGCGUGUCAGUUCUAUGUCAGGAGUGAGGGCAUGGGUGCUAAGGUCCAUGUCCUAAAGGAGAACAAUCCGGACCAACAGCUAAGGUCCCGAAAUGAAUACUAAGUUGAACUAACGAAGUCAGAUUGCUAAGACAGCUAGGAUGUUGGCUUGGAAGCAGCCAUUCAUUUAAAGAGUGCGUAACAGCUCACUAGUCGAGGAGUUUGGCGUGGAUAAUAAUCGGGCAUAAGUGUUUUACCGAAGCUAUGGGAUACGUAAGUAUCGGUAGGGGAGCAUUCCACUCGGCGUUGAAGGCGAAGCGUGAGCUUUACUGGAGCGUGUGGAAAAGCAAAUGUAGGUAUAAGUAACGAUAAAGGGGGUGAGAAACCCCCUCGCCGAAAGACUAAGGUUUCCUGAUCAACGCUAAUCGGAUCAGGGUCAGUCGGGUCCUAAGGCUCAGCCGAACGGCGAUGCCGAUGGCAGAAACGGUUAAUAUUCCGUUACUACCUUCAGGAGUGACGUGGAGACGCAGUAGUGACAGUGCCGCCAUCUGACGGAAUAGAUGGUUGAAGGGUGUAGGAGUCGAUCAUGGCAGGCAAAUCCACCAUGAGAUCCGAACCUGACAGUAUGCCGCGUCCUUCGGGACAAGGCAAUAGUGCGCGUAAGCAUGCUGCCGAGAAAAUCCGCUAAACUUAAUCCUGCAGGUACCCGUACCGCAAACGGACACACGUAGUCGGGAUGAAUAUUCUAAGGCGCUUGAGUGAUUCACGGUUAAGGAACUAGGCAAACUGACCCUGUAACUUCGGGAUAAAGGGUCCUCAAGCAAUUGAGGCGCAGAGAAUAGGUCCAGGCAACUGUUUAACAAAAACACAGGGCUGUGCAAAUUUGAAAGAAGAAGUAUACAGCCUGACACCUGCCCGGUGCCGGAAGGUUAAGAGGAGAGCUCAUCAGCGAUGAGAAGGUUUGAAUUGAAGCCCCGGUAAACGGCGGCCGUAACUAUAACGGUCCUAAGGUAGCGAAAUUCCUUGUCGGGU
rnacentral:rRNA from 1 species